rnacentral:rRNA from 1 species
AUUUUUCGCUGGCGGCAUGCCUUACACAUGCAAGUCGAACGGCAGCACGGAGCUUGCUCUGGUGGCGAGUGGCGAACGGGUGAGUAAUAUAUCGGAACGUACCCUAGAGUGGGGGAUAACGUAGCGAAAGUUACGCUAAUACCGCAUACGAUCUAAGGAUGAAAGUGGGGGAUCGCAAGACCUCAUGCUCGUGGAGCGGCCGAUAUCUGAUUAGCUAGUUGGUAGGGUAAAAGCCUACCAAGGCAUCGAUCAGUAGCUGGUCUGAGAGGACGACCAGCCACACUGGAACUGAGACACGGUCCAGACUCCUACGGGAGGCAGCAGUGGGGAAUUUUGGACAAUGGGCGAAAGCCUGAUCCAGCAAUGCCGCGUGAGUGAAGAAGGCCUUCGGGUUGUAAAGCUCUUUUGUCAGGGAAGAAACGGUGAGAGCUAAUAUCUCUUGCUAAUGACGGUACCUGAAAAAUAAGCACCGGCUAACUACGUGCCAGCAGCCGCGGUAAUACGUAGGGUGCAAGCGUUAAUCGGAAUUACUGGGCGUAAAGCGUGCGCAGGCGGUUUUGUAAGUCUGAUGUGAAAUCCCCGGGCUCAACCUGGGAAUUGCUUUGGAGACUGCAAGGCUUAAAUUUGGCAGAGGGGGGUAGAAUUCCCAGUGUACCAGUGAAAUGCGAAGAUAUGUGGAGGAACACUGAUGGGAAAGGCACCCCCCUGGGUCAAGAUUGACGCUCAUGCACGAAAGCGUGGGAGCAAACAGGAUUAGAUACCCUGGUAGUCCACGCCCUAAACGAUGUCUACUAGUGUCCGGGUCUUAAUUGACUUGGUAACGCAGCUAACGCGUGAAGUAGACCGCCUGGGGAGUACGGUCGCAAGAUUAAAACUCAAAGGAAUUGACGGGGACCCGCACAAGCGGUGGAUGAUGUGGAUUAAUUCGAUGCAACGCGAAAAACCUUACCUACCCUUGACAUGGCUGGAAUCCCCGAGAGAUUGGGGAGUGCUCGAAAGAGAACCAGUACACAGGUGCUGCAUGGCUGUCGUCAGCUUGUGUCGUGAGAUGUUGGGUUAAGUCCCGCAACGAGCGCAACCCUUGUCAUUAGUUGCUACGAAAGGGCACUCUAAUGAGACUGCCGGUGACAAACCGGAGGAAGGUGGGGAUGACGUCAAGUCCUCAUGGCCCUUAUGGGUAGGGCUUCACACGUCAUACAAUGGUACAUACAGAGCGCCGCCAACCCGCGAGGGGGAGCUAAUCGCAGAAAGUGUAUCGUAGUCCGGAUUGUAGUCUGCGACUCGACUGCAUGAAGUUGGAAUCGCUAGUAAUCGCGGAUCAGCAUGUCGCGGUGAAUACGUUCCCGGGUCU